UACGUAGGGUGCGAGCGUUGUCCGGAAUUACUGGGCGUAAAGAGCUCGUAGGCGGUUUGUCGCGUCUGCUGUGAAAACCCGAGGCUCAACCUCGGGCCUGCAGUGGGUACGGGCAGACUAGAGUGGCGGUAGGGGAGAUUGGAAUUCCUGGUGUAGCGGUGGAAUGCGCAGAUAUCAGGAGGAACACCGGUGGCGAAGGCGGGUCUCUGGGCCGAUACUGACGCUGAGGAGCGAAAGCGUGGGGAGCGAACAGG
rnacentral:rRNA from 1 species